rnacentral:rRNA from 1 species
UACGAAGGGGGCUAGCGUUGCUCGGAAUCACUGGGCGUAAAGGGUGCGUAGGCGGGUCUUUAAGUCAGGGGGGAAAUCCUGGAGCUCAACUCCAGAACUGCCUUUGAUACUGAAGAUCUUGAGUUCGGGAGAGGUGAGUGGAACUGCGAGUGUAGAGGUGAAAUUCGCAGAUAUCAGGAAGAACACCCGUGGCUAAGGCGGCUCUCUAGUACGUGACUGACGCUGAGACGCGAAAGCGUGGGGAGCGAACAGG